ACAUCAGCAAAAUCUGAUGUCGGGAUUGGCGUCCUGAAUCUACUAAUAGGUGCAUAUGCCGCACUAUGCGGUUUUUUU
rnacentral:sRNA from 1 species